CCUACGGGAGACAGCAGUGAGGAAUAUUGGUCAAUGGACGCAAGUCUGAACCAGCCAUGCCGCGUGCAGGAAGACGGCUCUAUGAGUUGUAAACUGCUUUUGUACGAGGGUAAACGCAGAUACGCGUAUCUGUCUGAAAGUAUAGUACGAAUAAGGAUCGGCUAACUUCGUGCCAGCAGCCGCGGUAAUACGGAGGAGUCAAGCGUUAUCCGGAUUUAGUGGGUUUAAAGGGUGCGUAGGCGGUCGGAUAAGUUAGAGGUGAAAUCCCGAGGCUCAACUGCGGAAUUGCCUCUGAUACUGGUGGGCUAGAGAGUAGUUGCGGUAGGCGGAAUGUAUGGUGUAGCGGUGAAAUGCUUAGAGAUCAUACAGAACACCGAUUGCGAAGGCAGCUUACCAAGCUACUUCUGACGUUGAGGCACGAAAGCGUGGGGAGCAAACAGGAUUAGAUACCCCUGUAGUC
rnacentral:rRNA from 1 species